rnacentral:lncRNA from 1 species
CUAUUCCCUAUGAAUUCCAAGGGAAUGGGUACUGUUCAAAAAGGAAUGCCCCACAAGUGUUACCAUGGCAAAACUGGAAGAGUCUACAGUGUUACCCAGCAUGCUGUUGGCAUUGUUGUGAACAAACAAGUUAAGGGCAAGAUUCUUGCCAAGAGAAUUAAUGUGUGUAUUGAGCACAUUAAGCACUCUAAGAGCUGAGAUAGCUUCCUGAAACGUGUGAAGGAAAAUGAUCAGAAAAAGAAAGAAGCCAAAGAGAAAGGUACCUGGGUUCAACUAAAGCGCCAGCCUGCUCCACCCAGAGAGGCACACUUUGUGAGAACCAAUGGGAAGGAGCCUGAGCUGCUGGAACCUAUUCCCUAUGAAUUCAUGGCAUAAUAGGUGUUAAAGAUCGGAAGAAUGCAAGCAGAAGGUGGACAUUUUUCUGAAGGGGCCCAAUGAAUUCAGACACACACUACACAGAAGCCCCUGGA